ACGGGAGGCAGCAGUGAGGAAUAUUGGUCAAUGGCCGGAAGGCUGAACCAGCCAUGCCGCGUGAAGGAAUAAGGUCCUAUGGAUUGUAAACUUCUUUUGUAUGGGAGCAAUAAGAGCUACGUGUAGUUCGAUGAGAGUACCAUACGAAUAAGCAUCGGCUAACUCCGUGCCAGCAGCCGCGGUAAUACGGAGGAUGCAAGCGUUAUCCGGAUUUAUUGGGUUUAAAGGGUGCGUAGGCGGUUUGGUAAGUCAGUGGUGAAAUGUCUUCGCUCAACGAAGAACGUGCCAUUGAUACUGCUGAACUAGAAUUCGGAUGCCGUGGGAGGAAUGAGUAGUGUAGCGGUGAAAUGCUUAGAUAUUACUCAGAACACCGAUUGCGAAGGCAUCUCACGAAUCCGAGAUUGACGCUGAGGCACGAAAGUGUGGGGAUCAAACAGGAUUAGAUACCCUGGUA
rnacentral:rRNA from 1 species